AAUUUAAGCCCCAGCAGGCAUUGGCAGCCUUGAUUGUGCUGGGAACAGUGAAUCCCGUGGCUCUCUUUUCCCAGACAUCCCCCCUUCCCUCACCCCAUGGAUUAGGGACCUGAGCUUGCCCAGCCCUGUGUUCACCCAUCAGCUCCACGUAGCUUAGCAACCAUCAAAUCCAUGUUUGCCAACGCUGACAUUCCACGGAGGAGACCGGGAAUACUCAGCAUCCCACUGAAAACAGUGAAGCUCCGGUGGGUGCCCUGGCUGUGGAUGUUUCCCUGGAAAUUUAGGGGCUUGCUGGAUAUGGAUUGCAGCCAGCAGAGCAAAUUCCAGCCUCUCCAUCCCGAAGAUACAACUCUGGAGACAAGGAGCCCAGGUAAGGUGGGAGCCACAGGUAAGUAAGUGUGCAGGUGGAUGAUCACCUUGCAAUAAAUGCAGGGAAAUCCCAGAUUCAGCUUCCUGAGACACCAUGGAGGGUUUUUCCAGCACAAAGAGGGAAAAAAACCCCCACAACAAACCAGAACCCAGAACCCUGAGGGGAAACAAGAUCUGACCUAUUUUUAUCUCAAGAACUGACUCCAGCUGAAGACUUGACUCCCCAGAGAAAAGCAAAUUCUCCAGGCCAAAUGUGACAUGUCACGUGAGGAAGGAUGUGGUUUUUCCACUUGGAUGUCCCUCCCUGCCUGCAUGCAGCUGACUUGGUGCUUGCAAAGAUGGGAAGAUAUUUUUAGCCCUGAAAUGCAGACCCAGGGCCAGGGACUGGCUGAGCCUGGCUUGAAAUCAUCCCGUGCUUCCCAAGGUGAGGAAUGUCUGGGUGGGCAAGCUCAGCACACGGUGCCUGUGUUGGGCAGUGGGCUAAUGGCCAUAAAUGAAUAUAAAAUGAGAUUGAAUACUUUGGUAACAUAACACACUGAUGGCAUGGAAUAAAAAGUAGGAAGCAACUUAAAACCAUGUCAUUCACCUGGAGUAACAUCAGGGUAAUCCACGUUCAUGGAUCAGGGAUGCAUCUAAUGACAGGGGUCAGGUGGGAAUUGUGCUUUGCAGCCCUGGUUGAUUUUUUUGGUCAGCUUUUUGGAGCACCAUCAGCCCCAGACUUGAUGGAGGGGUUGGUGCUCAGCUCCCUCACCUGCCUUGGUGUUGGUGUUUGUCCAUCAGUGAGAGCUUGAUUGGGUCCAUCUCCACCAGUUUGUCUGGGAUCCUGACAGGGAGCUGUAGGAUCAGAGCAGAUCUCUGUUCUGGGAGCAAAUCCUCUCGCCAGCUGGAGGGAGAUCCCGUUAUAACCCUUGAACUUGCAUCUUUCCAGCCCUGCUUUGGCCAACCCUCCUCUGAGAACACCUCAGGUGUGUUCCCCUGUUCCCCCGUUCCCCUGUGUGGGCUGCACACCAGUAGGUGCUGCCUGGUGCUGGCUGAGUGAGCCCUCCUGAUGGGCUAUUUCCCAUUAUCCCACCAACACACUGUGUUAUAAAUGGCAUUCCCAGGGCUGUGACAGUGGCCACAAUCAUUGUUCAGGUCCCUGCCUACUCUCAAACCGAGCCUUGCUUUGUCUUUGCCUCUGCAGGGCCCUGACGUGCUAAAAUUUUCCCCGAGUUUCCCUUACCCAGGUAGGAAUGGGAAAAGCAGCAAAACCCAUGCAGAAGCCAGAGUUCAUUAGCACCACUGCCCUGCAGCUCAGCCUCUCCUCCUCCUCCUCUCCUGGGCACCUGUAAUUCCACCCUGGAAUCCGCUGCAUCCCGACAUCCUCGACGCCUCGGUGCUGCCGGGCAUUUCCAGCAACAAGGCUUUGGGUGAGUGGCUCCAUCAGAGUUUUAUUCUGCCACAGGCUUCAAUUUUUGUGAGCUGCUUUAUCCUCACAAGGAUAAAACUCGACUCUGACCUCUAAUGAUCCUCCUAAUGAUAUGAGGGAAAAGGAACGAUGAUGAGCUGCCGAGGCUUAGCCCAUCUUCUGGAUUUUUUGGAGAUCCCUGAGGAGCAGGAGGCUGAGCGAGGAGGAAUGUGGACUCCUUUUGUUUUCUACUUUGCCUGUUUAUUAAGCCUUUUUUUCCUUAAAAGCAAGGAAGAAAAAGAGAAGUACCAACGUGCAUCUCGAGCACUGAAGUGCUGUGUACCAGGAAAUGACAAAAAGAUAUUUAUUACAUUUAUUACUUGCCCGGGUACCCAAGUUUUUUAAGCACACGGAGAGUUCCUGGGCACAUAUCAAAGCAAAAUGAUCACAGUGGAGUAGGAAGGGCAAAGAUGAAGAGGGGAGGCAGGGAGGAGGAUAUGGUUUGCUUUCACCCCUUUCGUCCGGGUCUCGUGAAGGUCCUUUGGUCACCCAGAAAUCGCCCUGUGUGGCUUGAAUGGGCACCAUCCUUUAAAAACCACGUUCCCUGGUCAAGGUGAUGUGCCUUUUGGGAGGGUUUUGUGACACAGCAGACCCCUCUUGCAGCCCACAGUGCUCCAGCUGGCCUCCUAUUUAAUGUGGCUCUCACUGCUGAUCGAUGGAUUCAGCAACAUCCACCCUCAUGCAGAACUCGUGGGAUCGUGCUCUGAUUCCAGAGCAGGAGCUUGGAAUAAAAGGGCACAGCCAAAACAUAUGUACAAACACACCUCUGCAGAGGCUGCUUUUGUAGUCACCACUCGGGGUGGAACUUUAACUUCAGGUUAGGGGUAAGAAUGUUGUUCUUUCUGUAAGACACAGCCCAAGGUCCAAGAAUAUUUCUUUAAUCACUUUAUCCCACCGUGGAUGAGGUAUUUGCUGUUAAUUCUUUAUCCCAUUCGUGCCUCUCUGCGCUCAUUAACUCUUUGGUGAGACAUUAGGGAAUCACAGAGUAAAACAGGCAUUCUGGAAGGGAUGGGAUUCUGACUGGGAGCAGUUCCUGGCUGAACCUUGAAGUCAGGAGGGGAAGAUUUUGAUUGUAUUGGCAGCACUUCCUAAUGCGCAUUGCAAUUUGGGAGGCAUAAACCCUAGGGUUUGUAAUCACUGGGUGCAUAAAAACUGCAUUUCAUAUAUUAUUCUCAUAUUUAACCUUUUUUUUUUAUUCCUUGUUUCUUUACGUGCCAGUUUUUUACAAGCCUGAGAUUCCCAUGAAUAGAGAAUAAAGUUGGAAUCUGCGCUGGCAAAAUAAACAGGUCAGGAUGAGACAGCUUAGGUGGUUAGUGGAGAUUAGGUUUUCUGGGAUCCACCUGUAACUUGCACCUAAAAAUGAGUGUGGAUGAAAAAAUAAACCUAUUAGAGGUGUUUCCUGUGUUGUUCUGUGAUGUCUUUUAUCCAUCGUGUGGCUUCAGUCACCAAAAUGCUUCUGUGGUCUUCCCUCAGAUUUGUAAAUCUGAAUUUGAGUGGUUUGAAUGACAACUGAAAUUACUCAAGGAAGAUACCUGGUUUUCCCUGUCCACCACCCCUUUUCAUUUAAUUAAUUAAUUUUAAAAACUCUGAUUGUCUCAGGGCAUGUGCCAAAGUUCUUUCUCGUUAGACCAAACCCAAAGUCUUUAAUCACCUUCUUUUUUUUUCUUUUUUUAAUAAAUGGAGUAUCAGACUGUGACCACGAGCCAGAUGAAAAGCAGAAUGUGGGAAGACAGGGCCGGAAAUUACUAAUUGCCCUCCAGUUAAAGGACUCAGCAGGAAUGGGCCCAGCGAUGGAUAAAUGGCUAUUCUUGAGUGAUUAUAGCUCUGGAUGCUGAACACAAAGUUCCUGCUGAAAGUUUCAUCAAAACCUUCCCGUGAAACCUGUUUGUUUUGAAAUAUUGGCAUUUUGUGAUGAAUAACAAUGUCACUGGAAAAAGUCCUGUUGGAAUAUUUGCAGUGGAGUCCCCUGAGCCUGUGUAUUAAUCCAGUCUCCUACACUAGGAUUUGGAUGGAUGUCAUAGAAUCUACAGGAUGGGUGAGGUUAGAAAGGACCACUGGAGGUCAUCUAGCCCAGCCUCUCUGCAGGAUCCACUCAGGAUUGUGUCUGACAACUUCUGAGUAUCUCCAGAGAAGGAGACUCCACAACCUCACUGGGGAGCCUGUUCCCAGAUGCCUCCCAUCCCUGCAGGACCUCCUUAGGAUGGUGACGACUCACAGUGACAACCCUUUCUGCUGGGGGUGGUGACCUGUGCCUUUGCCUGUGGGACCCAGAAGGACACUGGCAUGGUGAGCACCACACAUGCACCAAUAAAACACCACUGUUUUCCUUCGA